rnacentral:rRNA from 1 species
GAUGAACGCUGGCGGCGUGCCUAAUACAUGCAAGUCGAGCGAACAGACGAGGAGCUUGCUCCUCUGACGUUAGCGGCGGACGGGUGAGUAACACGUGGAUAACCUACCUAUAAGACUGGGAUAACUUCGGGAAACCGGAUCUAAUACCGGAUAAUAUAUUGAACCGCAUGGUUCAAUAGUGAACGACGGUUUUGCUGUCACUUAUAGAUGGAUCCUCGCUGCAUUAGCUAGUUGGUAAGGUAACGGCUUACCAAGGCAACGAUGCGUAGCCGACCUGAGAGGGCGACCGGCCACACUGGAACUGAGACACGGUCCAGACUCCUACGGGAGGCAGCAGUGGGGAAUCUUCCGCAAAGGGCGAAAGCCUGACGGAGCAACGCCGCGUGAGUGAUGAAGGUCUUCGGAUCGUAAAACUCUGUUAUUAGGGAAGAACAAAUGUGUAAGUAACUAUGCACGUCUUGACGGUACCUAAUCAGAAAGCCACGGCUAACUACGUG